rnacentral:lncRNA from 1 species
AUAGCUUCAUCCUCCACCCGGCUUGCAGCCGCUUCGUCCUUGCGAGCAACAGCGGUCGACCAGGAAGAGCUCUCGCUGGAUUCGUCCGGUGUCUCGUACCAAGUGCUGAAACAAAGAUUGGAAGCCGGUGAGUGGGAAGCAGCAGACGAGGAAACUCGACGACUUCUCUACGUUUUAGCCGGUGAAGCUGCCGCCAAGCGGAAGUGGGUCUACUUUUCCGAAGCACAGUUCAUCCCGGCCAGGGACCUUCAAACGCUCGACAGUCUCUGGAGGCA